AUUGAACGCUUGCGGCAGGCUUAACACAUGCAAGUCGAGCGAGCGGCGCCCGGGUUAUUAAUGUCUGGGAAACUGCCUGAUGGAGGGGGAUAACUACUGGAAACGGUAGCUAAUACCGCAUCCCAUCAGAUGUGCCCCGAUGGGAUUAGAUAGUAGGUGGGGUAAUGGCGCACCUAGGCGACGAUCCCUAGCUGGUCUGAAAGGCUGACCAGCAAUACUGGAACGGAGGCACGGCGCAGACUCCGACGGGAGGAAGCAGAGGGGAAUAUUGCACAAUGGGAGCAAGCCUGAUGCGGACGUGCCGCGUGUGUGAAGAAGCCCUUCGGGUUGUAAAGCACUGGCAGCGAGGAGGCGUUAAUCGCAGAAGAAGCACCGGCGAACGCCGUGCCAGCAGCCGCGGUAAUAC
rnacentral:rRNA from 1 species